CACCCCCGGCGCGCAUGCGCGCCACCGCGCCAAGCAGCUCGCUCCGGCGCCAUCUUGGCGGCGGUUUUUUUUUACUCCUCUCUUCCUCCUCCUCCUCCUUAUUCGUACUCGACGACGUCCCGCCGAAGGAGCGACCGCGGCUGUAGCCACGAUGCGUUGGGCGGAAUCCAUCGGUCUUAAACCGCCGGUAAUGGGGAAAGUAGCAUUUUUCAAUUUUACACCAGUAGGAACACCACACAUUGAAUCAGAUUCAUGUUGAAAUGGCCACUUUCUGACGGAAUCAGCUGAGUGCUUUUCAUCUGACUAAAUGGAUGUCUCUUUGCUACAUUUUGACAUUCCAUAACCAUGAUGUAUCCACUGGGAACAGCACCAAAG